rnacentral:lncRNA from 1 species
GAAAAACCCUGUGAUAUAAGCAAUGAAGCAAAUCCUUGACCCACCUGUUACUUGACAAGAGAGGACAAGUGACUUGCCCAUGGUCAUAUGGCUAAGAAGUGGAAGGGCCAGGAUUCAAACUCAAGCAGUUUGGUUCCAGAGUUCCCCGAAUAUAGUCAGAUAAUGAAUGGGAGCAGGCAGCUGUGGAUAGCCAACGGAGGACCACUGGAAGUGAAGUUGACAUGGCCAAGGGCAGACAGAGCAGAAGUUAACCUGGUCUUGGAUGACACUGGUCCCCGGACUACAGAGAACUCAAGCCCUGGCUGCAAGCUGUUUGCCUUGAAGAGACAUUAAUAACCACAACUACCAGGCAAUAAAGUAGGUAAU